CUGAGGUGUUUCCCACUCUUCAACCCCUCUUGCCAGAGUUCUGGACCCAGGAAAACCCCCUGCUUAUUACAACGUCAUGACAAAACGAUGUCAAUUGAGUCAGAGGGGCCGAUGUUUGCCCACACAAUAAUGAUUUUGUACAACAGACGAAGUCCUUCGGUCCUCAAGGGAAAUAUAAUUUCCUGACCCCAGGGGAGUCCAUGAUUUAUUUUGGGCUGAACUUUCCUGAAGCUGAGUCUUAGGAUGUGAGUCUCAUCCUGCUGGUAUCCUGCCACACGGCUGUGUGACUGCUGCUCUUCCAGGGACGCCACAGGGCCCAGAGGAUGUCGACCUCUCUGUAUGGCGCAGACAGGGAUGACCAGCUUACAGCUCAGAUGGAAAUGUGCCCCAGAGGAAAGCCUGCGUGGCCUAGUCGUCAAAACUAUGAACAACAGCCGAAGUAAAGCUUGUCAAUUUCAUCAAUUAUGUGUGCCAAGGACUGACGUGGCUCAGAGUUUCCAAAGUCUGAGUGAUUUGUGACCAUUAGUAACUCAGACACUGGGAGAUUCAAGCGGUCAGCCAGUGCUGGGAAUUUUCUCAUUUCAGGAAAUCUUGGCAGUGAGGCAGGCGUGCUAGAACCUCAGCAACUGGAGUGCUGGGAGGCAGAAAAUCAGACAGGCAGGAAGUGAGUGUGGGAACAGACAGAAACAUGACGUGCCGUGUGAGCUUUCACGCUGGACAGCUCUAUGUGGAGUUCUUCCUCUCCAGCAACAGUUUCCUUGCUGACAAGUAGAGACGGUAAGAACUGUCGCUGGACAGUCUGCCGUGCCUGGUACAAGCCAUGGGCUCUGAAUACCAGGUCUCAUCCCCUUCUCAACCCGUGUCUCGGGGAGGCAAACUGAGACUUAACUAGUCCAGGCUGGGUCUGGUUUGGUGGACCUGAGAUUGUUACUGAAUCGUCAAAGCUAGGACUUGGAGUUCGAGGACUCUGAGGGGUGUGGUAAAGGACUCUUCAAAGUCAGCAACUGUACAAAAUGUUUUGGAUUCAGGCUGGGUCAUAUUAUAACAUGGAGCUGCUGUUCUCACAGUAUGGCCUGUGGUCCAUGGAGGGACCCAGAAAACUUCUAUGAGUCCAUCACUGAUCAGCAACUCAUACAACUCCUAUUUGCACUUUUUUUGGGGGAGGGAGGAAGGUGAUGUUUGAAGUGAUAUUGUAAAAACAACCAAAGGUAAAACCAUUACGUUUAGUUUGAAUCAAAGUAAUGGUAUUAUCCUGGAGAGUUGGUUAAGGGUGUGUUCUUGCUUUACCAGAGAGUUCGAGUUUGGAUCCUAGCACCUAUGUUGGGUUACUCACAACCAUCUGUAACUGCAGUUCCAGGGGAUCUGAUGCCCUCUGCUGGACUCUGUGGGCACCUGCACUCCUUUAUGCACAAACCUACAUGCAGAGACACAUUUCAUGUAUAAUUUAAAAUAGAUCUUUUAAAAAAUGUACUGGGAGAAAGGUGUUGCCUGCAGGGAUAGUUACCAGGUCACCACAAUCGCUGAACUGCCACACUGAUUUCUGUGACAAAAUGGCAAAUAUAUAUUUAUAAUAAAGUAUUGACUACAAAAGACAAAA